UAUCGGCGACCGGGCCCCUCUGGCAGGACGCAACCGCGACUGCGAUGUCGGAGCCGAUGC
rfam:Microvirga aerilata strain BSC39 scf7180000028500, whole genome shotgun sequence.